AGAGUUUGAUCCUGGCUCAGAGCGAACGCUGGCGGCAGGCUUAACACAUGCAAGUCGAGCGGGCCCUUCGGGGUCAGCGGCGGACGGGUGAGUAACGCGUGGGAACGUGCCUUCUGGUUCGGAAUAACCCUGGGAAACUAGGGCUAAUACCGGAUACGCCCUUUUGGGGAAAGGUUUACUGCCGGAAGAUCGGCCCGCGUCUGAUUAGCUAGUUGGUGGGGUAACGGCCUACCAAGGCGACGAUCAGUAGCUGGUCUGAGAGGAUGAUCAGCCACACUGGGACUGAGACACGGCCCAGACUCCUACGGGAGGCAGCAGUGGGGAAUAUUGGACAAUGGGCGCAAGCCUGAUCCAGCCAUGCCGCGUGAGUGAUGAAGGCCUUAGGGUUGUAAAGCUCUUUUAUCCGGGACGAUAAUGACGGUACCGGAGGAAUAAGCCCCGGCUAACUUCGUGCCAGCAGCCGCGGUAAUACGAAGGGGGCUAGCGUUGCUCGGAAUCACUGGGCGUAAAGGGCGCGUAGGCGGCGUUUUAAGUCGGGGGUGAAAGCCUGUGGCUCAACCACAGAAUGGCCUUCGAUACUGGGACGCUUGAGUAUGGUAGAGGUUGGUGGAACUGCGAGUGUAGAGGUGAAAUUCGUAGAUAUUCGCAAGAACACCGGUGGCGAAGGCGGCCAACUGGACCAUUACUGACGCUGAGGCGCGAAA
rnacentral:rRNA from 1 species